rnacentral:sRNA from 1 species
GGUGAAUUACGCGGCGGGGCUGUCGCCGUACGCGGACAAGGGCAAGUGCGGCCUCCCGGAGAUCUUCGACCCCCCGGAGGAGCUGGAGCGGAAGGUGUGGGAACUGGCGAGGCUGGUCUGGCAGUCUUCCAAUGUGGUGUUCCACACGGGUGCCGGCAUCAGCACUGCCUCUGGCAUUCCCGACUUCAGGGGUCCCCACGGAGUCUGGACCAUGGAGGAGCGAGGUCUGGCCCCCAAGUUCGACACCACCUUUGAGAGCGCGCGGCCCACGCAGACCCAUAUGGCGCUGGUGCAGCUGGAGCGCGUGGGCCUCCUCCGCUUCCUGGUCAGCCAGAACGUGGACGGGCUCCAUGUGCGCUCAGGCUUCCCCAGGGACAAACUGGCAGAGCUUCACGGGAACAUGUUUGUGGAAGAAUGUGCCAAGUGUAAGACGCAGUACGUCCGGGACACAGUCGUGGGCACCAUGGGCCUGAAGGCCACGGGCCGGCUCUGCACCGUGGCUAAGGCAAGGGGGCUGCGAGCCUGCAGGUGAGCCACCCCCACCCAGGCCCUGGGCUCCAGGGGAGGCUGCGAGGCUCCUGCGGACUCUCCUCAGCUUCCUCAUUGCAGGGGAGAGCUGAGGGACACCAUCCUCGACUGGGAGGACUCCCUGCCCGACCGGGACCUGGCACUCGCCGAUGAGGCCAGCAGGAACGCCGACCUGUCCAUCACGCUGGGUACAUCGCUGCAGAUCCGGCCCAGCGGGAACCUGCCGCUGGCUACCAAGCGCCGGGGAGGCCGCCUGGUCAUCGUCAACCUGCAGCCCACCAAGCACGACCGCCAUGCUGACCUCCGCAUCCAUGGCUACGUUGACGAGGUCAUGACCCGGCUCAUGAAGCACCUGGGGCUGGAGAUCCCCGCCUGGGACGGCCCCCGUGUGCUGGAGAGGGCGCUGCCACCCCUGCCCCGCCCGCCCACUCCCAAGCUGGAGCCCAAGGAGGAAUCUCCCACCCGGAUCAACGGCUCUAUCCCCGCCGGCCCCAAGCAGGAGCCCUGCGCCCAGCACAACGGCUCAGAG